AACACAUGCAAGUCGAGGGAGGAGCUUUCGGGCUUCGACCGGCGUACGGGUGCGUAACGCGUAUACAAUCUGCCUUUCACAUAGGGAUAGCCCGAAGAAAUUUGGAUUAAUACCUAAUGGUAUAUAGGAGUGGCAUCACAUUUAUAUUAAAGCUGAGGCGGUGAAAGAUGAGUAUGCGUUCUAUUAGCUAGUUGGAGAGGUAACGGCUCCCCAAGGCGACGAUAGAUAGGGGUUCUGAGAGGGAUAUCCCCCACACUGGUACUGAGAUACGGACCAGACUCCUACGGGAGGCAGCAGUGAGGAAUAUUGGACAAUGGUCGGAAGACUGAUCCAGCCAUGCCGCGUGCAGGAAGACGGCCUUAUGGGUUGUAAACUGCUUUUGCAGGGGAAGAAUAAGGACUACGUGUAGUUUGAUGACGGUACUCUGCGAAUAAGCAUCGGCUAACUCCGUGCCAGCAGCCGCGGUAAUACGGAGGAUGCGAGCGUUAUCCGGAAUCAUUGGGUUUAAAGGGUCCGUAGGCGGGCUAAUAAGUCAGAGGUGAAAGCGCUCAGCUCAACUGAGCAACUGCCUUUGAAACUGUUAGUCUUGAAUGGUUGUGAAGUAGUUGGAAUGUGUAGUGUAGCGGUGAAAUGCUUAGAUAUUACACAGAACACCGAUAGCGAAGGCAUAUUACUAACAAUUAAUUGACGCUGAUGGACGAAAGCGUGGGGAGCGAACAGGAUUAGAUACCCUGGUAGUCCACGCUGUAAACGAUGGAUACUAGCUGUUUGGUUGCAAGACUGAGUGGCUAAGCGAAAGUGAUAAGUAUCCCACCUGGGGAGUACGCA
rnacentral:rRNA from 1 species